UAUGAUAUUGGAUCUAGGGCAUAUAUACUAUAUCCCUAACAAUCUCCCACUUGCACUAGAGCCAAUCGCUCUUGUACUUCAUCCCCAAUUUACACUUGUGCUUGUCAAACUCCUUUGUGCCAAGCGCUUUAGUGAAUGGGUCUGCAGCAUUUUCCUUUCCAUCAACCUUCGAAUCUCGACGUCUCAACGUUCAAUGAUUUCUCUUGUCAAGUGAUACCUUCGCAGAACAUGUUUGGACUUUUGGUGUGAUCUU
rnacentral:lncRNA from 1 species